UUGUUACUCCCCCCGUCCCAUAUUAAUUGACGCUCAAACGGAUGUAUCUAGAUGUAUUUCAGUGCUAGAUACAUCUGUUUGAGCGUCGAUUAAUAUGGGAUGGAGGAAGUAGUAU
rfam:Hordeum vulgare subsp. vulgare, WGS project CAJW01000000 data, contig: morex_contig_40969